rnacentral:rRNA from 1 species
GACGAACGCUGGCGGCGUGCCUAAUACAUGCAAGUAGAACGCUGAAGAGAGGAGCUUGCUCUUCUUGGAUGAGUUGCGAACGGGUGAGUAACGCGUAGGUAACCUGCCUUGUAGCGGGGGAUAACUAUUGGAAACGAUAGCUAAUACCGCAUAACAAUGGAUGACACAUGUCAUUUAUUUGAAAGGGGCAAUUGCUCCACUACAAGAUGGACCUGCGUUGUAUUAGCUAGUAGGUGAGGUAAUGGCUCACCUAGGCGACGAUACAUAGCCGACCUGAGAGGGUGAUCGGCCACACUGGGACUGAGACACGGCCCAGACUCCUACGGGAGGCAGCAGUAGGGAAUCUUCGGCAAUGGGGGCAACCCUGACCGAGCAACGCCGCGUGAGUGAAGAAGGUUUUCGGAUCGUAAAGCUCUGUUGUAAGUCAAGAACGGGUGUGAGAGUGGAAAGUUCACACUGUGACGGUAGCUUACCAGAAAGGAACGGCUAACUACGUGCCAGCAGCCGCGGUAAUACGUAGGUCCCGAGCGUUGUCCGGAUUUAUUGGGCGUAAAGCGAGCGCAGGCGGUUUGAUAAGUCUGAAGUUAAAGGCUGUGGCUCAACCACAGUUCGCUUUGGAAACUGUCAAACUUGAGUGCAGAAGGGGAGAGUGGAAUUCCAUGUGUAGCGGUGAAAUGCGUAGAUAUAUGGAGGAACACCGGUGGCGAAAGCUGCUCUCCGGUCUGUAACUGACGCUGAGGCUCGAAAGCGUGGGGAGCGAACAGGAUUAGAUACCCUGGUAGUCCACGCCGUAAACGAUGAGUGCUAGGUGUUGGAUCCUUUCCGGGAUUCAGUGCCGCAGCUAACGCAUUAAGCACUCCGCCUGGGGAGUACGACCGCAAGGUUGAAACUCAAAGGAAUUGACGGGGCCCGCACAAGCGGUGGAGCAUGUGGUUUAAUUCGAAGCAACGCGAAGAACCUUACCAGGUCUUGACAUCCCGAUGCUAUUUCUAGAGAUAGAAAGUUACUUCGGUACAUCGGUGACAGGUGGUGCAUGGUUGUCGUCAGCUCGUGUCGUGAGAUGUUGGGUUAAGUCCCGCAACGAGCGCAACCCCUAUUGUUAGUUGCCAUCAUUCAGUUGGGCACUCUAGCGAGACUGCCGGUAAUAAACCGGAGGAAGGUGGGGAUGACGUCAAAUCAUCAUGCCCCUUAUGACCUGGGCUACACACGUGCUACAAUGGUUGGUACAACGAGUUGCGAGUCGGUGACGGCGAGCUAAUCUCUUAAAGCCAAUCUCAGUUCGGAUUGUAGGCUGCAACUCGCCUACAUGAAGUCGGAAUCGCUAGUAAUCGCGGAUCAGCACGCCGCGGUGAAUACGUUCCCGGGCCU